ACUAGGGGUAGGGGGAAAGAGGGGAAACGAAAAAAAAAAAAAAACGUGGCUAAAUUCGGACCAUUUACGCAUUCACGGGGCUAGGGUUCUUCACCUGCGAUUCCAACCUCUUCAAUCCAUCGGAUACAAUGGCGAUGAGAAACUUCUACCAUGAGAUCAAAGGUAUGAGGGUGAAGGAUCUGCCCCAACAUGUGAAGCCACUGUUGUCCGUCGACUACGUCAAGAAGGCUGUUCGGAGAGGAUUGGAUAACUAUCGCGCCAAGUACAUAGAAACCGACUCCAUCCAGCCGCUCUAUCAUGUUUGCUUUGGAGGCAUGAUCUUCUCCUACCUCGUCGCCCUCCCCCAUGAACGCCGCCACCUUGAGCAUCUGGAACACGAAAAGCAGCAUGGUCACGGUGGACACUGAUUUUAUCCGUCGUCUAUUGCUUCAGGUGUGCGUCUCCAUGAAUUUCAAACGGAUCCUGUUUGUUGAAUGGGAGGUGGUCGUCUUGCUUAAUUUUCUUUUGGUUUUAGAAUCAGGGAAAUCAGGGCUGAAAGAUGCUGUCACCUUCAAUGUAUGACAUCUUUUAGAUGAUUAAAUAAGAUCUAUUUGAUACAGUGAUUCAGUUUUCCUGCUCCAAAAUGUCAAUGCAAUGUGUGGCAUAAGACUAUAACUUUGGUUUUGCUUGUGGCCUCAUGUUCUGUUAACGAGAGGACAUUAUCUUGCUGUUACUUUACACAA